AGGAGGAGGAGGACGACGCGGACGACGACGACGACGCGGACGCGGCGGCAGCUGGAGCUUCUCGAUAAUUCCUGCGAGGAGACGGCUGGGCUGGGGCCGCGGCGGUGAGAGGUAUUCUCCUCAAAUGGGAAAUGCCUGAUGUUUAACACCUGAUCAAAGUGGGUGUGCAGACUCUGAACUCCUCCUACUUCUGUAGGAGAGAGCUUCCAGAAAUUGCUUCUAGAAAAUCAUUGCUACUAGAAGAGCAGUGGCAACUUCCAAAGGGAAAGAAAGGGUGGCUGGACACUGAGAAAACCAAGAAGCCCUUGAGAGAAGUAGAUUCCAGACAGAGAGCUCUGCAACUUUCCAGGAUGUCAAAGACAACCAGGAAUAAGAGUCUACUUUAUAGCCUGUGCACAUGCUCACAUGCAUCUUACAGUUGGACCAGGGGGACUAAUUAGCAACUAAAGGAGAGAUUAAAUCAGGUCACAUAAUUGUAUUACCGGGGAUGGGAUUUGCAAAUCCAGGGUACCAAUACAAGCCCCUUCAUACCAAAAAGCUUGGAUGAUUGAUAAGGGUA